ACCUGACCUGACGUUAGUGGGUUAUCAGAAUUUAUUAACAUUAGUGUCACUAAAGUUAGUAUACACCCCACAUUGGUACAUUUGACUGGCUUAAA
rnacentral:Y_RNA from 1 species